UGAGUUCAGGCAAGAACACCCCG
rnacentral:rRNA from 1 species